rnacentral:rRNA from 1 species
GUGAAAGCCUUCGGCUCAACCGAAGAAGUGCAUUGGAAACUGGGAGACUUGAGUGCAGAAGAGGACAGUGGAACUCCAUGUGUAGCGGUGAAAUGCGUAGAUAUAUGGAAGAACACCAGUGGCGAAGGCGGCUGUCUGGUCUGUAACUGACGCUGAGGCUCGAAAGCAUGGGUAGCGAACAGGAUUAGAUACC